CCUACGGGAGGCAGCAGUGGGGAAUAUUGGACAAUGGGGGCGACCCUGAUCCAGCCAUGCCGCGUGUGUGAAGAAGGCCCUCGGGUUGUAAAGCACUUUCAGUGAGGAAGAACGCCUGGUGGUUAAUACCCAUCAGGAAAGACAUCACUCACAGAAGAAGCACCGGCUAACUCCGUGCCAGCAGCCGCGGUAAUACGGAGGGUGCGAGCGUUAAUCGGAAUUACUGGGCGUAAAGCGCGCGUAGGUGGCUUGAUAAGCCGGUUGUGAAAGCCCCGGGCUCAACCUGGGAACGGCAUCCGGAACUGUCAAGCUAGAGUGCAGGAGAGGAAGGUAGAAUUCCCGGUGUAGCGGUGAAAUGCGUAGAGAUCGGGAGGAAUACCAGUGGCGAAGGCGGCCUUCUGGACUGACACUGACACUGAGGUGCGAAAGCGUGGGUAGCAAACAGGAUUAGAUACCCCUGUAGUC
rnacentral:rRNA from 1 species